rnacentral:ncRNA from 1 species
UGGCUCUGGAGAAGCUCCCCUCCGCGGGAGUGCCGAAGGUGCAACGCGCAGCGGUUUCCGCUGCGGGAAUCUCUCAGGCAAAAGGACAGAGUUU